GGCCCGUUAAUAGUCUCAUUCGUUGUCGUUGGUUAGAGCGUCGAGCUAAUAACGCGAAGGUCGCGGGUUCGAUCCCCUCACGGGCCA